UACGGAGGGAGCUAGCGUUAUUCGGAAUUACUAGGGCGUAAGCGCACGUAGGCGGCUUUGUAAGUAAGAGGUGAAAGCCCAGAGCUCAACUCUGGAAUUGCCUUUAGGACUGCAUCGCUUGAAUCAGUGGAGAGGUCAGUGGAAUUCCGAGUGUAGAGGUGAAAUUCGUGAGAUAUUCGGAAGAACACCAGUGGCGAAGGCCGGCUGACUGGACAUGUAUUGACGCUGAGGUGCGAAGCGUGGGGAGCAAACAGG
rnacentral:rRNA from 1 species